GCCCGGUUAGCUCAAUCGGUAGAGCGUGAGACUCUUAAUUCUCAGCCUCAAUUUGGAAGUUGAAAUCUCAAGGUUGCGGGUUCGACCCCCGCAUCGGGCU